UAUUUUUCCAGUGAAGAGGAAGUUCGGAGUAAGGUGUUUGCUGAGAAAAUGGGACUGGAGACGGGAUAGAACUGUCACAUCUCCCUCCAAUCAGAGAGCUUCCCUCUCACCCAGAAAACGUGCAGGAGCCGGUGACCGAGGAAGAGGAAGAAAUUCUGCUGAGACACAGUGUCAGAGAGAGGGCAGAGUCAAGAGCAAUGGAGCAUGAUGGAGCAUGUCUCAUCGAGGACCUAAACAGGGCCAAACUUCCAAGAGGAAUAGAGAAUGUGAGGCCACAUCUGGAGAACAUUGAUAAUGUUCCGUUACUGGUCCCUUUAUUUACAGACUGCACAUCACAGAGUAAGACACUUACAAAUGCAAACACACACACACAGUGUUACAACAUUUAUUUAUUUAUUUAUUUUAUUUGUUGG